CGUGCCUAAUACAUGCAAGUCGAGCGCAGGAAAUCGACGGAACCCUUCGGGGGGAAGUCGACGGAAUGAGCGGCGGACGGGUGAGUAACACGUAAAGAACCUGCCCUCAGGUCUGGGAUAACCACGAGAAACCGGUGCUAAUACCGAAUAGUUUCUGACACCUCAUGGUGUCAGAGGGAAAGUUGGCUUUUAGCUAACACUUACGGAUGGUCCCGCGGCGCAUUAGCUAGUUGGUGAGGUAACGGCUCACCAAGGCGACGAUGCGUAGCCGACCUGAGAGGGUGAUCGGCCACACUGGGACUGAGACACGGCCCAGACUCCUACGGGAGGCAGCAGUAGGGAAUCUUCCGCAAUGGACGAAAGUCUGACGGAGCAACGCCGCGUGAGCGAAGAAGGCCUUCGGGUCGUAAAGCUCUGUUGUCAGGGAAGAACAAGUGCCAUUCGAAUAGGUUGGCACCUUGACGGUACCUGACCAGAAAGCCACGGCUAACUACGUGCCAGCCGCCGCGGUAA
rnacentral:rRNA from 1 species